AAACCGGGCGACCUACCCAUGAGCAGGAUGAAGCGAAAGUAAAAUUUCGUGGAGGUCCGAACCCACGAGCGUUGAAAAGCUCGGGGAUGACUUGUGGGUAGCGGUGAAAUUCCAAUCGAGCCCGGAGAUAGCUGGUUCUCCCCGAAAUAGCUUUAGGGCUAGCCUCAAGGUGAGAGAUACGGAGGUAGAGCACUGAAUGUCCUAGGGGGUAUUGCACCUACCGAAGACUAUCAAACUCCGAAUGCCGUCAUCUUAUACUUGGGAGUCAGACUGUGGGUGAUAAGAUUCAUAGUCGAAAGGGCAACAGCCCAGAUCGUCAGCUAAGGUCCCUAAAUGUAAGUUAAGUGGUAAAGGAUGUGGGAUUGCACAGACAACCAGGAUGUUGGCUUAGAAGCAGCCACUCAUUCAAAGAGUGCGUAAUAGCUCACUGGUCGAGUGAUCCUGCGCCGAAGAUUUCCGGGGCUAAAACUUACUACCGAAGCUACGGCAUCAGUAAUGAUGGGUAGGGGAGCUUCCCAUACGGGUUGAAGCAUGACCGUAAGGACAUGUGGACAGUAUGGGAGUGAGAAUGUUGGCAUGAGUAGCGAGAUGUGGGUG
rnacentral:rRNA from 1 species